rnacentral:rRNA from 1 species
CAACAUUGCAAUGAGUGGCGAACGGGUGAGUAACACGUGGGAAACCUACCUCUUAGCAGGGGAUAACAUUUGGAACAAAUGCUAAUACCGUAUAAAUAUUAAAACCGCAUGGUUUUAGUUUAAAAGAUGGUCUUGCUAUCACUAAGAGAUGGUCCCGCGGUGUAUUAGUUAGUUGGUGAGGUAAUGGCUCACCAAGACAAUGAUACAUAGCCGAGUUGAGAGACUGACCGGCCACAAUGGGACUGAGACACGGCCCAUACUCCUACGGGAGGCAGCAGUAGGGAAUCUUCCACAAUGGACGAAAGUCUGAUGGAGCAACGCCGCGUGUGUGAUGAAGGGUUUCGGCUCGUAAAACACUGUUGUAAGAGAAGAAUGACAUUGAGAGUAACUGUUCAAUGUGUGACGGUAUCUUACCAGAAAGGAACGGCUAAAUACGUG